GACGAACCACACGAACGUUAUUCGGAAUUACUGGGCUUACAGGGUGCGUAGGCGGCGGGGAAAGUAGGGUGUGAAAUGCCUUGGCUCAACCAAGGCACUGCGCUCUAAACUCCCUCGCUCGAGUGAGUCAGGGGUACGCGGAACUUCCGGUGGAGCGGUGAAAUGUGUUGAUAUCGGAAGGAACACCGGUGGCGAAAGCGGCGUACUGGGGCUUAACUGACGCUGAGGCACGAAAGCCAGGGGAGCGAACGGG
rnacentral:rRNA from 1 species